GGGGAUUUAGCUCAGUGGCAUAAGUGCUUGCCUUAAAAGCAGGCAGUCAUGAGUUCAAUCCCCG
rnacentral:tRNA from 1 species